GUUUUGGGUGGUGAUGUGCCUUUUGUUUUUUGCAAUUCUAAGAUGGUAAGCCUAGUCUAGUAUGAUCUUCGACUUGGUGGACUCAAAAAAAAAAAUCCUCCUACCUCUGCUGGCAAGUAUUUGGGUCUAACAGCAUGUAUCACCAGUUUAGAAAUAUAGCGUGCAUUUGUCAACUAUUUAGAGGUUUCCCAGCUAUGUUUCUGCUAUUCUUAGUUUAAUUUCACUCAACUCCAAGAUCAUGCAUUUGUUUGCUUCCAGAUAGUGUCUUGCUAGAGGCCAAGCUUCUAGCUCCCAGUCCUGAGUGCUGGGAUGAGAGGUGAGUGCCAUCAUGCCAGGUGCCGACGCCUAUUUUGUAGGACUUUUGUUUUUAAGCUUGUUUAAGGGUGGUUUUCAGUCUGGAAUGUAACCUCAGUGAAUAUUUUAUCUGAAUUUGAGAGUGAUGUUCACCCAUACUUGUCGGAUGAGUGUUCUUCAAAUGUCAACAGAUCCAGAUGACUAACGGUACCGGCUAGGACCGGCUAGGUUCCACUUGGCCUUGUGCAUUUUCUCUCUGAUAGGUCAAUUACUGUCUGGUGCGUUGCUGGAGUAUUGAGCGCUAAUGGAUUGAGCCUUUUUGUGUUUUCGUUAAAUGGUUUUCUGUUCCCUUGGAUAUUUUGACUCCCUGCUGUUCAGCUUGAUCAUAUUAAUGAAUGUAGGUCUUUUUGGAUAAUAGACUGCAUUUGUUUUGUGUGGUGCUCCUUUUUGCCCCUGGUCGUUUUCCUUGCACCAGCUGGCCCUGUGUCUGGAAGCUCGGAGCUUGCUCUCUUGGAGUCCUAUCCCUGAAGUCGCCCAUCCUCUGGGAGGCAGACGGACAUCUUCAGCCUCUGAGGCUGAUUUACAAACAAGAGUUGGUGGAUCCACAGAACAGCAGCCCGGAACUAGGGGCAAGGGUCACAUGUCCAGUCAGAAACAACGCCCUCCUUCACCCAAAUUGCUCAAAACUGUUGUUGGCUCUUCUUCAAAACUCUUGAUGUUUGGCAAUACCGUGUGCACUUUGACCAUAGCGCCCAGUGCCUUGUUGAGCAGUUUUCAGUAGACUUUCGCUUUGCACAAACAUCUCUGAGUGAUCCAAUACCUCCUGCAGCUCUGGCAAACUCUGGGUCAGCCCGGAGUCCCUCGAAGCUGGAACUGAGGUCAGAGAAGCCCAGGACAGCCACGAAGCUGUGGGUCCUCGCGCCUAACAACCACAGUUUAGGAUUCUGAUACGUUACCAAACCGCCAUCCAGAAAGGAAUUGCAAUUUGGACUUCUACAAGAAAUCAGAAACAGUAAAGAACAGCCUCGCUGCCUGCAGGGGUGCCUGAGGCCCUGAAGUCCAGAGCUUUGCUGAGUUCAUCACUUGGGAGAGUAAACCUCCAAUGGUCUGCCGGUGCAGUGAGCAUUGCAACCUGAAUCAUUGUAAAUCAUAUUUGCAAAUCUACUCUUUUCCAACAAAGGCCGAUGGAUCAAUCAAUUGAAAGCUGAGCCCAGCAGGUGAGGGAAAACUCCCGUCUUUGGCAUGGCACGUGUCCACUCCUCAAGCCCAUGGAGAUUCGGACUGAAGGGUUCCAGAGAUCGCGUGGUGAGGCCGUGUGGAGUUUGCCAUGCAGGGGAGCUCCCAACACCAAGCAUCUGCCAGCAAAGAGCCCAAUCUGGACCUUGGAAAACUGUGUCCUCUCUUCCCAGGUGUUCCACUGAGCCACUGACUUCUCCGGGAGUCAUUCAGAUUCUAAUCAUAGCCCUUGAAGCAGCCAUUUCUUCCUGUGCUUCGGAAACUGAACUUGCUAAAGCAGCUAGGAUUGGUCCCCUGGUGGUCUUGGCCAGUUCUUGGACAACAAGGCUAGGUCCUUAGGCAGAGUCUUGAGCCAGUACAGGUCCAUGCUUCCCAGUAGGGAUGGAUUUCUUUUCGGACAUACAUCGUAGAAACUGGUAUGUCUGGAGCUCCAUCACUUGCGCUAUACUGCCUGGGCAGAAGGAAAGACCACAGGGAAGGCGGUGGCUGUGCCGGGCAGGGAGAACUCACAGCUAUUGUGCUCCAUGGAACAGCCCAGACCCUGCCAUCCGGCACGGAUGUUUUGUUUAGUCAAGGCUGGCUGACCCCGAAGCGGGGAAUUAUUAUUGUAACAUGUGUUUGGUGUGGAAGGGCGAUGUUGGAAGACAAUGGGAGGGGAGAGGCAUCUUAUUGCUGUCUGGGUGGGUUGGAGCUGGUAGGAGCUUCUGCCACUCUCCUCUGCUCUAUCUCCUUGUCCUGGGAUCCAUGCUGUUCCUCUAGGAGAAGCAAUGAAAGGUCAACCUCAGGCUGCUGAAAACAUGCCCCUUGAGGUUAUCCGAUGGCCUAAGCUGUAUCCUAUGGGAUGGGAAAGGUGUGCUGUUGUUGGUGGGAUCAUCUGAAGGCUGCCCCUUCAAGAACCAGGGUAGCUAGCUGUGCAGCUAGCUCAGAGUUAAAACGAGCCCGGGAGAAGACAUAGGAAGCCAUUGUCUUGUUGGAUUUUCUGGCCCAUUAAGAAGUCUGGACUGUAACCUUGAAGACAGGAUGUGACCCCCACAUAAGUUCCUCACCUUGAUGACCCACAUGAAUCCAUGGGUCCAUCACAGUGCUCUCCAGAGCUCAUCUCUCACUGGGACUGAGAAUGAAAGAAUUGGUCUUUGAAUGUGUUCUCACCAUAGCCUCAUAGGAAGAAUGUCACAUCUCCUGUUCGCCACCUCUCUGGCAGUUCCCCUGAAUCUCUGUAGGUCAGAGGGCAGGAAUCCACUUGUCAAUGCAUGUUAAGUACCAGGCUUUGUGCAUCUACAUGCGGAGAAUGCCAGGCUGUCCCACAAAGUACCCUGCUGGUUGUAAAAGAUGGAAUUUGCUGUUGAAGUCACAGUUUGCAAUCUUGAUGUUCACGCCAGCCUCUGAGGGUUUAUCUGCCUUGAAGGCUGUCAGGACAGUGCACUUCUGGUCGCACAUUAGACACUACUGUUGGAAUUUGCUUCAGGCCUCUGUUUUCUCUCCCACUGCCACGAGGCACCGGGUACCCAAAUACCUCUUUUCCACUAGCAGGUUUCAUAAGAAGGCUGAUUUCCCAGUGUCGAUCAUUUGGGUCACUCUUGUUGGGAUUGUUGGAGUCUUCGUGCAUCCUUAGCUCACAGGAUGUUCUCUGGAUGGUAGAGGCGUGCUUUGCAUUGAGGAUGCAAUGGGUGGACAUUGAGAAUGCUGGGUUAUCUUGGCUGAGGAUCUUCAGCAGCUGCCCAUGUGGGGUCUCUCUUUCUCUCAAGCAGAUAUGGCUGAGGGGCCCUGCAGCUUGUCCAGACCUGCCGGUGGGCCUCAGAGUUAAGGCACAGGGUGGGGUGGGGAGGUGGGGAGGGUGAGCCUAAGUUUGAGAAAGGUGUGCACUCGUUUCAAGUCACCUCAGGUGAGAGCCGAAGGUUCACCUGGUGAAGUUAUCUUUAUAGUAGAAAUAAACGCACUGCUGGACCAAAAAAUAAAAAAAAUUUUUUAAAUAA